UCCCAUAUGGUCUAGUGGCUAGGAUCUGUCGCUUUCAUUGAUUCAAUGACCCGACAUGGCCCGGGUUCGAUUCCCGGUGUGGGAA
rnacentral:tRNA from 1 species